rnacentral:rRNA from 1 species
GACGAACCGUGCAAACGUUGUUCGGAAUCACUGGGCUUAAAGGGCGCGUAGGCGGAUCCAUCAGUCUGUGGUGAAAUCCUCCAGCUUAACUGGAGAAGUGCCAUGGAUACUGUGGGUCUCGAGGAGGAUAGGGGCAUCUGGAACUGCCGGUGGAGCGGUGAAAUGCGUUGAUAUCGGCAGGAACUCCGGUGGCGAAGGCGAAAUGCUGGAUCCUUUCUGACGCUGAGGCGCGAAAGCCAGGGGAGCAAAGCGGG